GGAAAGUACAGACCCAGAGGAGAUCCGGUAUGAGCACUUCCGCGAAGAGUUGAAAAGAGCUGGUGUCCCUGCAGUUUGUUCGGCGUAUUUUCUGGUUUCGGAGGUUUGUGUGGCGCGGCCGGCAGGUUGUGAGGAAGCUUCUUCCAUCAAGAGGUCAAGUCUAUUUCUCCAUUCCCUGAGUCUAGGCUUGGCCAUGUGACUUAACUUGUUCUAUGAGACAUUAGCAAAUCUGAUACAAGGAGAGUCUUAAAAUGUGCUUACAAUUGUGACUUGCUCUCUCCUGCUGCUGGGUACUCUUCCACCACCUUGUGAAAAAGUCCUGCUGACCUGAUGGAUGAUGAGAGACAUGUGGUCAUCCUCCCAACUGACUGACUAGUGACCAGAUAUGAGUGUGGCCCCUUAUGUCAGCUAGCCUGCCAACCACCAGGGAGUGAGCCAGGCCACUAUAGAUCAUUUAGGCUCAGUUACACUGGCCCAUUCCAGUAGAAUGCCCUCCAGAGAACCCACAGACCAGUGAAAAAUGUUUGUUUUAAAGUUAAACCAGUAAGUUUUGAGAUGAUUUGUUUUGUAGUCAAAAAUAACUGGUACUCAAGACAUUUCUUUGUAUCUGUUGGACUGGAUUUGUUGGGGUGUACUUCUUGGAGUCACUGAGUACCUAAAGAAGAGCACCACCGUGCAUCAUGGUCAUAUAGGUGGCAUGUGUUACCUUAAGUUCUCCCACCAAAUUUCUCAUAAUUUUGCUUAUUUAUAACAGGAAUAGUCUUACACAUCAUGUCUGUUGCAUUUCAACUUGUUCAGUAAAAGUAAUAUCAUUUGCAUGGUUUUCAUUAAUUGCUUUUAAAAAAUAAAGGUUGAAUUGUAUAAAUAUUGGA